rnacentral:snRNA from 1 species
UUAAUCGCGCAGUAGUGGCACGGUAAACAGUGAGGUUUAUCUGAGGCGUGGUCAUUGCUAGUUGUAAAUUACUCCCAAUACCCUGCACUGAUGGCGUGAAAUGUCGUUGUCAGAUGCAAUUUACCCAGGCUGUCAGAGGC